rnacentral:rRNA from 1 species
UACGUAGGGGGCAAGCGUUAUCCGGAUUUACUGGGUGUAAAGGGAGCGUAGACGGUGAUGCAAGUCAGAAGUGAAAGCCCGCGGCUCAACUGCGGGACUGCUUUUGAAACUGUAUGACUGGAGUGCAGGAGAGGUAAGCGGAAUUCCUAGUGUAGCGGUGAAAUGCGUAGAUAUUAGGAGGAACACCAGUGGCGAAGGCGGCUUACUGGACUGUAACUGACGUUGAGGCUCGAAAGCGUGGGGAGCAAACAGG